AUAAUGGGUCAGCGACUUAUAUUCUGUAGCAAGGUUAACCGUAUAGGGGAGCCGCAGGGAAACCGAGUCUUAACUGGGCGUUAAGUUGCAGGGUAUAGACCCGAAACCCGGUGAUCUAGCCAUGGGCAGGUUGAAGGUUGGGUAACACUAACUGGAGGACCGAACCGACUAAUGUUGAAAAAUUAGCGGAUGACUUGUGGCUGGGGGUGAAAGGCCAAUCAAACCGGGAGAUAGCUGGUUCUCCCCGAAAGCUAUUUAGGUAGCGCCUCGUGAACUCAUCUUCGGGGGUAGAGCACUGUUUCGGCUAGGGGGUCAUCCCGACUUACCAACCCGAUGCAAACUACGAAUACCGAAGAAUGUUAUCACGGGAGACACACGGCGGGUGCUAACGUCCGUCGUGAAGAGGGAAACAACCCAGACCGCCAGCUAAGGUCCCAAAGUCAUGGUUAAGUGGGAAACGAUGUGGGAAGGCCCAGACAGCCAGGAUGUUGGCUUAGAAGCAGCCAUCAUUUAAAGAAAGCGUAAUAGCUCACUGGUCGAGUCGGCCUGCGCGGAAGAUGUAACGGGGCUAAACCAUGCACCGAAGCUGCGGCAGCGACACUAUGUGUUGUUGGGUAGGGGAGCGUUCUGUAAGCCGUUGAAGGUGGCCUGUGAGGGUUGCUGGAGGUAUCAGAAGUGCGAAUGCUGACAUAAGUAACGAUAAUGCGGGUGAAAAACCCGCACGCCGGAAGACCAAGGGUUCCUGUCCAACGUUAAUCGGGGCAGGGUGAGUCGACCCCUAAGGCGAGGCCGAAAGGCGUAGUCGAUGGGAAACAGGUUAAUAUUCCUGUACUCGGUGUUACUGCGAAGGGGGGACGGAGAAGGCUAUGUUGGCCGGGCGACGGUUGUCCCGGUUUAAGCAUGUAGGCGGAUG
rnacentral:rRNA from 1 species